CAACUAUCGGAGUCAAAACCGAACAAUUAAACCUGUCAAGGAAAGUUCACUGUUGGUGAUCCAUCUGAUGAGCUCCUGCCCUACUUAAGGCUCACUCGGGGUCUGGAUCUUCGCUGAAGCAUCACACUGCAAUGGAGGCCACACCACAAAGAGACCAGUCUGGAAAUAACUAGGAGCUCAUCUGAAUCAACUGCCUGCCACCAAGCCUUCCUUAAAGCCACCAGGACCCAAACACCCAGCCUCGUCUGUAAAUACCUGAUCACUUACCUGCCUUCCUGGAACCGGGUCACUCUGCCUGAAGAUCACGAUCUCCUUCAAGGGAUGUCUCCUUACACGCACUGUCGUUCCUGGAUUUCUAUAAGAAAAAUUUAUUUAUUGUUACGAUUGACAGCUCAAUCUUAAGAGACAUUCUCUGGACCACUACUCAUUA